CUCAGAUGUUGUCCUGGGUUUCUCUGCAUGUCCGAGUUGGAGUCCCCAAACUUCCAAAUCCUCUCCUCUCUUUGUCUUAACUUUUAAAGGGCCAGACUCUCUGUACGUCAUUAGUUGAUAACCCAAUAGAAACACUGGAGGUGUGGUUACCUUCCAGAUCGCAAUUUAGUGUUUGGUCUAUAGAGAGCAGUCUUGUCCCACUAAAC